CUAGGACAGAGCUACUCCAAAGCUAUGGAUUUGAGCACAUGGGCACGCUGAAUAAUCUUGAAUAAGCUGGAUUGCUUAAAAAAAGGAGACAAAAAGCAACUGGCUGACAAUCAAACGUGCUCUGCAACUUGUGGUUGAUGAGACUAUAACACGGCCAAGUAUUUUUCCUUUUGAUCAUAGCUGAUAGCUUUUGGCUCUGCUCCCUAAUCGAGGGGUUGGUUUCAUAGCCUGCAUGUGUUACAUUUAUCACCGGACUUGUGCCUUUUGGACCUUUGGUAUAUAGUCCCAGAUUUCAAUGCAUGACACAAAUAUUGAGUCACUCACAUUAUUUAGGAAAACAUUACUCCCACCAACAAAAUCCACCGAUUGAGUUUUUUUUUUGUACUUAAUGGUUAAUGAAGUAUUUUUUAAUGAGUUCCUUUUUAAAAAAAAAAAAAAGUUUUGAGUUUUAAAAAAAAAUGGACAUUCGGUGGCUCCCCUCAGUGGGAGUAGCAGCACCCCAUUAUUUAUUCAACAUUCAGAGAUAUUCAUUAUGUGCCAUGUGGAACUAUAUAGCCUCGAAUUUCUCAAUGUGCAAACCAAAUAUUGGGGGAAUGAUGUGCACUGGACGGCAUCAUCGACAUUUUAUAAGAAUUAGCUACUUCAGCAGUUGAGAACAUACUUACUCGGUGGGCAGAAGCAUGUUCUGAUGGAAAUAUGUCCCAAUGGUAUUGCCUAUGUAUUCUCAGGAUAUGCACCUUAGUAUUCGUCUUGUUCAACAUGCCGUUCAAUCUGGAUGGUGAGGAUGAAUCUUUAUUUGCUAAAUUUCUUAGAAACUCUAGUUUUAAGCAAGAUAAUUUAUUGUUUUUAACUAAUCGGUUCUAUUUAGAAUGAAUCUUUUAGCAACCUGCUAGCUAUCUGAGAUUAAUGAAUGAAAAUUGCAAGAAUAGAUUGAAAGAAAGGGAUAAUCUCAUAAGAUUGGGAUUGAUUUGAGGUCAAUCCAACCUCCAAGUUUAGGGUUCAUACAAGCCAGAAAUUCUGCAUAAUAAAAUACCUCUCCCAUCUGAGUUCUACUUCUUAUAUAUGGGAUACCAAUUCCCUUCGAAAAUUAAAAUAACAGAAAGCAUUAAAAUGGAAAAUAAAGGAAUAAUUCAGGUAGUGUCAGAAUGUCUAUCCAAUGCUGUGAGAAAACUCGUAACCGACUGCUAUUCUAGAAUGUCCAAUAAAACAACCACAUAUUAGGAUGCCUUUAGCUCCGCUGCUCAGUCCUUCCAUAAGUUGAAAUGAUGCGUUGCAAGCCAAGGUACUUUCCAGCAAACGACGCCUUAUUACGAUAGGAUCAUAACAAAUUCCUCCCCUUAAAGAACCUUGUCCUCAAGGUUUAGAGCAUUGAUAGUUUUGGAAAUAAGCUGGCAGGUGAACCUUCCCACAAUUUCUUUUCAU